CUCGGGUUUAAAUGUCUUGUUUUAUUUUAUACUAAAUUAUGACCUGGCUGAAAUUGCUAUGUUUUCUUUGUCAUAUUCUAGAAACCUCUUACUAUAAAAGUGAAGGUUAUACCAUAGUUCCAUACUUUCAUUUUUUUCAGGGGGUGGGAAUGCUCACAUUUUGACAGUUCAGCAGUGAAAACAUUAAAAGUUACUGUGCUUGCUACAGCAAUAUUUUUUUCACGUUGAAUAAUAGCUCUUUUGUCUUGGCCAAUGGGGCAUAUAUACUGCAUUAGAAAAAGGUAAUUAAAUCGUUUUGAAAUGACAAAAGUGCAGAUUUUUGACUUGGACUAAUCAGUAACAAUUUCAUUGUUGAGUCUAAGAAUGAACAAACUUUUAUGAUUGCUGGGAGAGGUGAAUUAACCUCAAAUUGUUCUGGUUCACUUCACAGGCGGUGGCUGAGUAAUACAUUGCCCUGAAACUGAUAAGCCAGAAGGCUAAAGAAGUUUCAAGGAAGUAAGGCAGAAGUCUUGCACAGAAGGCAGCUAUCAGCGUACGAGAGAUUCAAAGAUUGCAUGGAUCCCAGAUCGAGAACUGGUUGAAUGCCUUAGAGAAGACCCGGGCUCCACACUUUGGAAGAGUUGAGUCUGAAAUCAGGAAAUUGGACUCUUCUGGAAUCUCUGACUUUUUAUUGUCCUUGUGGAAGUGUGACAAGUCACUCUUGAAUGGCAACGUCCAAGCUUUCUUGAUGGCAGACAGGUGGGUCCCUGGCAGUGGUGCAUGGGCACACAGCAUCUAUGUUUUAGGACAGGAAAGUGGCAUAUCCAAAGUUACACAGCUAGCACCUGUGGAGUCAGAGUUUGAACCCCAGGGCUGUCUAGCCCCCGUGUCUUAUUCUUCUUCUCAUAUUGGAGAAAGGGCAAUUCUCUUCUCCAUUCCUGGAAAUAUCCUUUGAAGAUCUCAACCUAGGUGAAAAAAGGUUGAAAAUUUCCUUCCAGUGGAAUUUAUUUUAUUACCUUUAAUAAAAUCAUUUGGGGGGGUACUAUUUGUCA
rnacentral:lncRNA from 1 species